AAUCCUCUUCUUAAAUUCUGCACAGGGAAACAGAGAACACAGCAUUAGGACCCACAGCAUUAGGACCCACAGCUCUUCAUGGGGUGAAGAAUCAUAUCCUGGUGAAGAAUGGCGGCUUGAGGGAGAGAAAUCUCUCGGAGAGGAGCUUGGCUCUGAAGAUAGCAUGUACUCUUCAUCCAUACAACUAGACAGAGAAACAAUCACAGAUGAGAGGAAGUUCGGGGGAUGAUGUCAAUUGAAUGCAAAUGUGCCCUGGCUUGCAUCCUGGAACAGGAAGAGGACAUUGAUGGAACUGAUGAAAUCCCAAGUCUGGAGUUUGGACUGGGGAAUUGAAGAAUCUGCUGGAAAUCUGCCAUAUCCGUGAAAAGAAGAGUUGAGUUUGCCACUUUCCCACUUGGGCCUGAGGCCAUGUGCACCAGCAUGCCAACAGGCAGCUUCUGGACCUUUCUCUGCUCUUCCAGCUGACCAUCGCCCAGCGGCAAUGAGGAACUCUGUGGGCUCAUGCUCAUAUCAGAUGCUGUCUCGUCAAUAUCCAACUCAUCUGAGGACUCUUUGCUCUCAGAGGGCCCGCUGGACUUCUGCCCCAGAAGCGGUGCCCUGGAGCCAGGUGAGAAUUUUACUCAGCCUUCUAACUCCACAAUGGUGUAAAUUCCUGAGAUUCUGUUUGAUUACCUACACAUAUGAAGAAGCUUAUUGACAGGGACUCCUUGGACUUCAUAAGAUUAUUAUAAGCCAUCAAACAUACUAUUGAUUGAAUGUAUCUGCAAUUCCAGCUUAACUUUCUUGCUACAGAUCUAUUUAGAGCUAUAAAGAUCUACAGUAAUGUGCUUAAUUAUAGCUAUAUUAUUUCUCUCUGAUUGUGUAGGUUCAUUUU